rnacentral:rRNA from 1 species
GACGAACGCUGGCGGCGUGCUUAACACAUGCCAGUCGAACGGAAAGGCCCUGCUUUUGUGGGGUGCUCGAGUGGCGAACGGGUGAGUAACACGUGAGUAACCUGCCCUUGACUUUGGGAUAACUUCAGGAAACUGGGGCUAAUACCGGAUAGGAGCUCCUGCUUCAUGGUGGGGGUUGGAAAGUUUCGGCGGUUGGGGAUGUACUCGCGGCUUAUCAGCUUGUUGGUGGGGUAGUGGCUUACCAAGGCUUUGACGGGUAGCCGGCCUGAGAGGGUGACCGGCCACAUUGGGACUGAGAUACGGCACAGACUCCUACGGGAGGCAGCAGUGGGGAAUAUUGCACAAUGGGCGGAAGCCUGAUGCAGCAACGCCGCGUGCGGGAUGACGGCCUUCGGGUUGUAAACCGCUUUCGCCUGUGACGAAGCGUGAGUGACGGUAAUGGGUAAAGAAGCACCGGCUAACUACGUG